GUAUUGCUUUUCUAAUUUCAUCAAUUGAGUACUUUGAUGUUUCAGAGUUUAUACCAUGAGUGCAUCUGCAGCAAUUUGGUAUCUGGUUUUUAUUUCAUUUUCUUACAAUUCACAGUAAGCCUUCUCGAAUAAAUCACAGUGUGACCUAAUCUUACGUGAUUGGAUGUCGCCUAAGUAUGCUUCCUGCUAUUUUUUACACUAUUGUUAACGCCAAACUGUUGUCAUGACUUACUGGUGAAAUUUAGAAGUGAUAUAUCUGCGCAUAUAUACGGGUAUUUAACAUAACAUGAUCUGCAUGUUCUGAAUCUGCAGUUCUGCACUAUGCUUUGCUGGAUGUCGCCUAAGCAGAGGAUGCGGCAGUCUUGGCCACAUUUGGUUUUCAUAAGCUAAUGUGGGUUUCUUUCCCUUUUAUUCUUGCAAGAUAUGGUUCUUUGUUGGUUCAUUCGACCAUGCCGUUAACCAACAAGGCCUCUGAUCCUGUCUGUAGUGUGCGGCUAGGUUGUUCCUCCGCCUGGGUCGUAGCUUCUUUCCUUUCUGCCGACGGCAGGUACAAGACUCGAGCAAUGGUUAACGGGCAAGCACUAUAUACACCAUUCAUCUAUGCUAAUAUAAUCUGUCUUUUAAAGCCAAUGUAUGCUAUCACCAAGUGAUCUGAAUAUUUUGUUUCAAGCAUCAAGCUUUCAUGUAAUGGAAUAUAAGUAUCUUUAAGUUGAUUCUAAAUCAAUCUCAUACACAUGCUUUGAAUGCUUGGCUCGCUCUUGCUUUUUGUGCCAUGGUCAAACAUGGAGCGAUGACUCUGUCUAAUGUUUAUCACUUCAUAGCGCCUAUAUGUGACUAUCUACUUUCUUUGCUAAUAACAUUGUAAAUAAUUAAUCGUAAGCUUCUUAGAACACUAAGUACCAUCACUAAGCAUCUAUCUACCAGCAAUAGGUACUUAUUUUCAUAUGUUUCAAUAUGUGCCCGAAUAAUAUUAAUGUACACUCUUUCAAUACAUGGCAUACUCUCGGCCUUUGCGCCAUUGGCGCAACCAGUCAUCUAGUAGUAGUCGAGGGAGAUAGCUCAUCGAAAGAUGACGCAUCAGAAGAAUUCACAAGAUGUGGACGACUAGUUUAGUAAAGAAGAGGAUGAGGAUGGGGAUGAAUCACCUGGGAAGCCUUAGGGGACGAACGAGGUUGGGAAGCCGCAGAUGACGAUGACGUGCGGUCUACAACAGUCGUACAGGAAGACACAUUGGAAUGGAUGGACAAGGGCAAUACAUGAGUAAUAGGUGUAUCGGCAAAAGCCAGGAAAGAAAUGUCCUCAAUGAGAGAGGCCGAAGGAGAGAAUUGACGUGGAUAGAAAGGACGAGGCUCAUCAAAAGUCGCACCCCGAGAAAUGCUUAUCCGCCGAUCGAUACGAUCCCAACACUGAUAGUCCUUGUGCUCAUCAGCGUAACCUAAGAAGAAACAUUCAAUAUACUAAGCAACCAGUUUGAGGGGGCAAGAACAUAUUGAUCGCAACAAAACAAAGGAAGCGUUGUGUAGCCAUGAGAACGACCAAAAAGACACUCGAGAGGAAUAUCGCCCUACAAAGCAAGGAAGGUUGGUUGUUGAUCAGGUAGGUGGAUGUAGAAACAACCUCAACCCAAAAGUGACCUAAGAAGACACAUUCAAUAUACUAAGCAGUCAGUUUGAGGGGCAAGAAGAAUGUAUUAAACGCAACAAAACAAACGAAGCACUGAGUAGCCAUGAGAACGACCAAAAAGACACUCAAGAGGAAUAUCACCCUGCAAAGCAAGGAAGGAUAACUGUUGAUCAGGUAGGUGGAUGUAGAAACAACCUCAACCCAAAAGUGAGGUGGAAGAGAUGCGUUGAUCUUCAAUGCACAAGCUGCCUCAAGAAGGUGACGAUGCUUAGCAAACAAUUCUGAUCAUAAGACCAUGACAAGAGAACUGAGAAAGUGCGCCCUGCAAGGAAUCUGCUUAAUAAAUGAUUGAUAAACUCGCAUGCAAAAUCUGCAUGGAAGACACAGGAAGGAGUGGAAAACCGGGUAUGAAGCAUGGCGGCAAACUUCUUACUGAUAAGACCUCGCUAGAAGAAAAGCAUAAAAUAUAUCCAUGUGUGUUCGAGAGAAAUCAUAUAUAAAGAUGAUAUAGUAGUGAUGUCCUCCUUUUGAGGCAAAGGGAC